CCUACGGGCGGCAGCAGUGAGGAAUAUUGGUCAAUGGACGAGAGUCUGAACCAGCCAAGUAGCGUGAAGGAUGACUGCCCUAUGGGUUGUAAACUUCUUUUAUAUGGGAAUAAAAUGUUCCACGUGUGGGCUUUUGUAUGUACCAUAUGAAUAAGGAUCGGCUAACUCCGUGCCAGCAGCCGCGGUAAUACGGAGGAUCCAAGCGUUAUCCGGAUUUAUUGGGUUUAAAGGGAGCGUAGGUGGAUUGUUAAGUCAGUUGUGAAAGUUUGCGGCUCAACCGUAAAAUUGCAGUUGAAACUGGCAGUCUUGAGUACAGUAGAGGUAGGCGGAAUGCGUGGUGUAGCGGUGAAAUGCUUAGAUAUCACGAAGAACUCCGAUUGCGAAGGCAGCUUACUGGACUGCAACUGACACUGAGGCUCGAAAGUGUGGAUAGCAAACAGGAUUAGAUACCCUAGUAGUC
rnacentral:rRNA from 1 species